rnacentral:lncRNA from 1 species
AACAAAUUGAUUUUUUUUUAAUCUUUCUACUUCGCUAUGUUCCCUAAUUAUGUUAGGAGCCCUAGUUAUGUUAGGAGUCCCCUACUUAGCUAUUGUUUUUAGGGUUUAGGGGUUAGGGUGGUGGUUUUUUUUUAGAGCGUCCCCAGUCAUUUUAUGAGCCCCCUAGUUAUGUUAGGAGUCCCCAAGGUUGGUUUAGGGUUUACUUUUUUUAUUUUAGUGUUUCCCAGGUUUUAAAAUGAGUAAAUCCAUAGAUAAAUCAUCCUGCUGUAAAAAUAGCCACCCACGGUCGGAUUACGGGCCCGUAAAAAUAGCCACUGCCUUAUUUUUAACUUCUUAUCUCUGUUAAACAGACAACAUUUCCCCAAGACUAGAUAUAUUAUCAACUCUUUAUUUCCCUUGGCACUACUUAAUGUAACACCAGUAUAUUUCCAGAAUGACAUUCCUGUCAAAUUAUUUUUAGAGAUGAAAAUAGGCUACAAAGUUCUUUGUAAACAUUAAUGCAAAACUCAACAGAGUAACCUGAAAUCAAAUGUGUAGCUAAACAAGCAUUUAUUCAUGUUUGAACUGUUUUUUUACAUUUUUGUUUGAGUUAUGAACAUUAUAAAUUGAAGUACAAUU